GACGAACGCUGGCGGCGUGCUUAACACAUGCAAGUCGAACGGAGCACCCUUGAUUGAGGUUUCGGCCAAAUGAUAGGAAUGCUUAGUGGCGGACUGGUGAGUAACGCGUGAGGAACCUGCCUUUCAGAGGGGGACAACAGUUGGAAACGACUGCUAAUACCGCAUGACGCAUUUUGAUCGCAUGGUCGAAAUGCCAAAGAUUUACCGGUGAAAGAUGGCCUCGCGUCUGAUUAGCUAGUUGGUGAGGUAACGGCCCACCAAGGCGACGAUCAGUAGACGGACUGAGAGGCUGACCGGCCACAUUGGGACUGAGAUACGGCCCAGACUCCUACGGGAGGCAGCAGUGGGGAAUAUUGGGCAAUGGGCGCAAGCCUGACCCAGCAACGCCGCGUGAAGGAAGAAGGCUUUCGGGUUGUAAACUUCUUUUAAGUGGGAAGAGUAGAAGACGGUACCACUUGAAUAAGCCACGGCUAACUACGUGCCAGCCGCCGCCGUAA
rnacentral:rRNA from 1 species